GUAGGAGGCAAGCGUUAUCCGGAUUCACUGGGCGUAAAGCGCGUGCAGGCGGUGCGGUAAGUUGGGCGUGAAAUCUCCCGGCUCAACUGGGAGAGGUCGUCCAAUACUACCGUACUCGAGAGCAGAAGAGGAAGAUGGAAUUCCCGGUGUAGUGGUGAAAUGCGUAGAUAUCGGGAGGAACACCAGUGGCGAAGGCGAUCUUCUGGUCUGUUUCUGACGCUCAGACGCGACAGCUAGGGUAGUAAACGGGAUUAGAGACCCCGGUAAUCCUAGCCGUAAACGAUGUGAACUUGGCGUUGGUGGGUUAAACUCCAUCAGUGCCGUAGCAAACGCGAUAAGUUCACCGCCUGGGGACUACGGCCGCAAGGUUAAA
rnacentral:rRNA from 1 species